AUGAGGCGGGAACAGACGUGGAGACGUGGUCGGCACCGGACCACCAGGAACCGAUGCAGACGCGGUUGGCGCCGGACCACCAGGAACAGAUGCAGACGCGGUCGGCGCCGGACCACCAGGAACCGAGCAGGCGCGACCUCCUCCUGGAGGUCCGCAGGAGCUGCAGCAGGCGCGACCUCCUCCUGGAGGUCCGCAGGAGCUGCAGCAGGCGCGACCUCCUCCUGGAGGUCCGCAGGAGCUGCAGCAGGCGCGACCUCCUCCUGGAGGUCGGCGGGAACCGCGGCAGCAACUCCAGCUGGCGCGACCUCCUCCUGGAGGUCGGCGUGGACCGCGGCAGCAACUCCAGCUGGCGCGACCUCCUCCUGGAGGUCGGCGGGAACUGCAGCAGGCGCGACCUCCUCCUGGAGGUCCGCAGGAGCUGUAGCAGGCGCAACCUCCUCCUGGAGGUCCACAGGAGCUGCAGCAGGCGCGACCUCCUCCUGGAGGUCAGCAGGAGCUGCAGCAGGCGCGACCUCCUCCUGGAGGUCAGCGGGAACCGCGGCAGCAACUCCAGCUGGCGCGACCUCCUCCUGGAGGUCGGCGUGGACCGCGGCAGCAACUCCAGCUGGCGAGACCUCCUCCUGGAGGUCGGCGGGAACUGCCACUCCGAGGCUGACAGGAACGGGGGCUAGAACGGCGUUCUCGCAGGAGCCGACUGGAACAUCGACGGCUUCUACAUGGCCGACAGGAACGACCUCUACCUGGCCGACAGGAGCGGCCUCUACAUGGCAGACAGGAACAGGAACGGCCUCAACCUGGCCGACAGGGACAGGAACUGGAACGGCCUCAACCUGGCCGACAGGGACAGGACUUGGAACGGCCUCUACUUGGCCGACGAGAACAGGAGCUGGAACGGCCUCUACUUGGCCGACGGGAACAGGAACUGGAACGGUCUCUACUUGGCCGACAGGAACAGGAACUGGAACGGCCUCUACUUGGCCGACAGGAACAGGAACGGCGUCCUCACAGGAGCCGGCGGCGCUGCUCUCAGGCUCCUCACAGGAGCCAGCUGGGGCCUGGACUGGGCUUGACUGGACUGGGACUGGAACCUGA
rnacentral:lncRNA from 1 species